rnacentral:misc_RNA from 1 species
GAUGAAGAACGUAGCGAAAUGCGAUAAGUAGUGUGAAUUGCAGAAUUCAGUGAAUCAUCGAAUCUUUGAACGCACCUUGCGCCCUUUGGCUAUUCCGAAGGGCAUGCCUGUUUGAGUAUCGUGAACACCUCAACUCUCAUGGUUUGCCAUGAUGAGCUUGGACUUUGGGGGUUUUGCUGGCCUUUGGUCGGCUCCUCUCAAACGGAUCAGCUUUCCAGUGUUUGGUGGCGUCACGGGUGUGAUAACUAUCUACGCCUGUGGUUUUCUGCCAGAUAACCUUCAGCGAUGGAGGUUCGCUGGGGCUCAUAAAUGUCUCUCUUCAGUGGAGACAGCUUUUUGGACGUUUGAUCUCAAAUCAGGUAGGACUACCCGCUGAACUUAAGCAUAUCAAUAAGCGGAGGA